rnacentral:rRNA from 1 species
CCCUUAGAUGUUCGGGGCUGCACAUGCGCUACACUGAAGGAAUCAACGUGUAUUUGCCCUUGCCCGAAAGGGUUGGGUAACCCGUUGAACCUCCUUCGUGCUAGGGAUUGGGGCUUGUAAUUAUUCCCCAUGAACGAGGAAUUCCCAGUAAGCGCGAGUCAUAAGCUCGCGUUGAUUACGUCCCUGCCCUUUGUACACACCGCCCGUCGCUACUACCGAUUGAAUGGUUUAGUGAGAUCCUCGGAUUGGUCCCGCCACGGGAGGAAACUUUCGAGGCGGAGUGCCGAGAAGACGAUCAAACUUGAUCAUUUAGAGGAAGUAAAAGUCGUAACA